GCCAACAAGUGCCAAGCAUCUCUCGGGGAACUCCUUCAAGACUGUUGGAAGACCAUUUCAGGAGGUGUGGGUACUACAUUUUUGGAGGCACCAGUGAGAAUGAAUGCAGUGCGAGUUGGCUUCCAGUGACGACAUCCCGCUUCCAGUGCCAUUCAGCCUGCUACUCAUCCCAGGUGACCAGUGGAAUGAAGACAUUUGGUGUCCGUUUCGAGCCAGGAAGGAAAGUGCAAGCAAUCUGAGCCAAACCUACACUCUGAGCUUCUGUUCUACAGGGAAAUCUGAAGUGUGAUGAACUGAGAGUUAAACACUGGAGUGUUGUAAGUGUUAUUAUAGUGUACGUGGGUGAUGGUGAGUCUUUACCAUAAACCCAAGCCACAACAAUGCAGUCACAGAAUGCCUCCCACAACAGGGUCAUUCCACUGGCAGAAUAAAAAUCAAAAAGUAGGAAGACAUACAUCCCUUCCUACACACACACACACACACACACACACACACACACACACACACACACAGAGAGGAAAAAUUAAAGCCAGUUUCAUCGAGUGCAUAUUAAAUACCUCAUACAUGAUGAUGGAAAGCUUUAUCUCCACACUUACCUGUGUAACCAUGGAGAGAUCUAUAAUAAAAGACAAGAUGCAGCAGGACCCCACAAUAAUUUCACGUUUGUUAUUCUUUGAAGGGAGCAGAUCCAGGAUGCCAGUGAUGAAGCCUUCAACUCCAACAAACUGCACGAGGAGAAGAGACACGUCAAAUUAUGCAGUGAAUUAGUGGUUAGACUUCUAAUCAGAAGGUCAUGAGAAUAAAAUUUGAAUAGAAAUUUCUUACAAAUGUAAAUGCUUUUAUUUAAUUUUUCCAUUUAUAAAAUUAUAUUUAAUCCA